UACGUAUGGAGCAAGCGUUAUCCGGAAUUAUUGGGUGUAAAGGGUGCGUAGACGGAGAAACAAGUUGGUUGUGAAAUCCCUCGGCUCAACCGAGGAACUGCAACCAAAACUAUUUCCCUUGAGUGUCGGAGAGGAAAGUGGAAUUCCUAGUGUAGCGGUGAAAUGCGUAGAUAUUAGGAGGAACACCAGUGGCGAAGGCGACUUUCUGGACGAUAACUGACGUUGAGGCACGAAAGUGUGGGGAGCAAACAGG
rnacentral:rRNA from 1 species